UCUAGAGAAAUGUAACCAGUAACCACUCAAAUUCAUUGACAGAGCUAUGGAUGCAAGGAUUUACUUACCAUACACAAUAUACAAAUUAUAGUAUAUACCACGUUUUGAGGCUAUACAGUGUUUGUUUACAAUUGCAUUGUUUGCAAACAUUGGAGUAAAACAAGAUAAUAUCUUGGUUUCUGAUAGGGUAAGACAGUUCAUGAGGCAUUUAUAAGUUAAUUCUUCCAAAAAUCUAUGGGUUAAAUUGUAGUGAUGCUCGAUAUACAAUUCCCACAACUGGGGUAACCCUAUUCGUGCGAUGCAUAGGGUGUUUGCCUUUCACACUAGUGACCCGGGUUUGCUUCCCUGCCGUUUGCCCGUUUCCUACAAUAUCAUGAAUUUAAAAGUCCAAAAAGGGAAGUUGCAAAUUCAUAUUGCCCCCUUUUAAAGCCACAUUUACAGUCUUUAUGCUAUUAAAUAAAAUACAUGCAUACAGAAAGCAUCUGUAUUGAUAGUAAAUUUGACAACAGUUCCAAAGAAAGAAAUGCAUACAUUUUAGCAAUCACUAAAAUAUCAAAAUAAUAAUGUAUUAUAUCAAUGCUUGUAAGAGUUGUUUUAGGUUCUGUGAACUAGGCCUAGACACUGUACUAUCUGAUAGGUCUAUAUCCAACUAAUUUCCUUUGCAUCAGGUCAACAUUAAGGGUUAAUUUAUCUAUUGGUUCAUUAUACAGCUGAAGGUUCCAUUUUUGGAAGAAAGGAUGUUAUUGUUGAGAGUAGGUUAAAGGUGACGCGAUUUGUAAACAGAAGCAUACAAUUGCUCCACAUUGUGAGGCCCUAAUAUGAAAACAUCCUAUAAAAUCUUCCUUGGCACAAUGUUAAGGACAGGUCAAAGUACGUUGGUAACCUUAGGGGAAGAGAACAUAACAUUUGCGUUUUAUAAUUCCGUUUACAAGUUCCUUGUAACGUGUCAUUCUGAGCCUCUGGAUUCAACCAAGGGUCAUAUUCACCCGGCACCAAACGGAAAGGUAAAUGGAAUGAAACAGGGAGGGACUACCUGAACUUGUCCAAUAAGAAACCAUUGUUUUCAUUUUCCUUUCCAAAAUGCUUUGCUAUAGGGUGCACUAAUAAAUUGGACCCAAGAGUCAGCUGACAGCAGGUGCACUCACAGCAGAACUGUACAGUACUGGCACCAAACGGAAAGGUAAAUGGAAUGAAACAGGGAGGGACUACCUGAACUUGUCCAAUAAGAAACCAUUGUUUUCAUUUUCCUUUCCAAAAUGCUUUGCUAUAGGGUGCACUAAUAAAUUGGACCCAAGAGUCAGCUGACAGCAGGUGCACUCACAGCAGAACUGUACAGUACUGGCCCACAUCUGUUAGGCACACCCAGGACAAGCCACAACAUGUUAGUCACCACUGCUGUAGCUAUUAUGGCCAGGGAUAUAAGGACACUCAGAGGGAAAUUAUCUUCAAAUCAGUUCUGAAUCUGGUGCAGAUGCAGGACUUUGACACAUAUUAGACAUUGUUUGUUAACCCAUGAAAGUUAGCACAACGUACCCUAAAAUUAACCUCCAGAAAGGUCAAACUCAAUAUAGUAAGGUCAACUGAUGCUCUGUAAUUUUCAUUAUAGGGACAACAAUUAUUCCUCAAAUGCACCUGCAUUUCUUAGAAACACUUGUCAAUGUUGCACAAUCAAUCUAGCUUUAUUCAUUGUCAUUUGUCACUUCAUCAUUUGACGUAUGUUUCAAUCACAGGUGAACUGUUGACAGAUGUUCCUGUCCUGUGUUCUAAUUAUGAACUCCGAUUGUACUUUGAGCAAACCAACACAUUUUUAUGACUGGUUUAUGUAAGUGUGCAAGCUCUCUCCCAAUCCAAAAAAUAUCAAUCAAAUAACAUGUCCUAAGCCAGCAUAGUAUUGAUUGCAGGUGUGGUGUACACUUAACAUAUCUGUACACAUAGCAUCACCUAUCACACACUUUAUGGACUGUUGCUUGCUGCUGUGCAAAGUGCACUGGGCCAAUUAACUUUCAGAUGGAGGCCAAGAGAAUAUCCCUAAUUGAUAUGUUCUAUUAUUAUAAGGAUAUAACUGUCUAGUAUUUUAUGCAUCAAUGCUUCAGAUAUUUAUGAGGAUAUUUUUAUUCCACAAAAUAGUAUAAAUAGUGUUAGUAUCUCUGGUCCUUAUGAACCUUAACUUGGGUCUUUGGGCACCCAUUGUCAGUGAGGGCCAAGGGAAUCUCAAAAAUGUGUUUUUGGAUGCAUGCUUUUUUUCUAGGCCCACCCCACAAAUGACCAAUUAUAUAAUAUGUAUUACUAAAAAUAGAAUAUACUGUAUGUAUGUAGCCUAAGCAAUAGCUUUAGGAUGUGGUGAGUCAGUGGUCUGCUCUAUUCGCAAACAAAAAUAUUUUGCUAUGGUAACCGUUGACUGAAGUUCACUGUACAAAUGGAAUAACAAUAGCACAAUUUGAUUCCAUGCAAACAAGGACAUAUCACUGUGUUCCUUCCCAGGGAAUUAGCCUACAAUGAUAGGCAGCUGCCUAUCUGAUUUCAGUUCAAUCUGUAAGGACAUGUCUAACUACAUAGGUUUGAAAAUGACUGUAAAAACAGCAGGUGAUUGGGAGGCGGGACUAGCACAGGGGGGAUCCACAACUUACAUCACCAUCAUUAAGGCUAUAUAAUGGAGUGAACUUCUAACAUUAGCAGAAGACUCUCACUGACUGACAAGCCAUACACAGCUGAACACGUUUGGAUACUCAGUCUACUCUGUACCACAAGUACAAACAGAACUCUUGAAGAGCUCAACAAAGAAACAGAAAGCAAACGCAAAUCAAUAUGACUGGGCAAGAUCUAACUGUCAUUCUGGACUGUGCGCAUCAGCUGCGUAAAGUUGGAGAUGUCCUCGCUAGUGACACCCUGGACUGGAGAUCCAAAUUAUUGGAAAUAUUGACAAAACAUUACAAGAAUAUGAUCAAAGUCAAGUGUGGGAGUUCAACCCACUCAGUGAAGAUCACGGAAACAAGAAGAUACUAUUCUAUCUCAGUCCGCGGUUUUGGUAGCUGUGCAGCAGUCCCGCCUUGUCGUUCAGAGGUGCAUUUGCGGCCACCUGAGAUGAAGUGAAGAGGAUCGUCUGCCUGGACCUGCCCCACAAUCCAAUAUUUAAUGGCAAAGUGUCCAGUGCUCACCUCCCCACCAUGUUAAUGGAGAGUGAAAAGGAUCGGUAACAUUGUGUAAUGGCAAAACCAGUGGACCUCUGUUGGUUUGUCGUUGGGACAUUUGGUAGCCCGAUGGGCAGCCAUUCACAUGGAUGUCAAACGCGAACAUGGGAACCAGAGCUGACAGGACCGAUCCUACAAGAAAGUACGAUGACAAAGGAGGAUUAUCAGUUGUUGGGGAUAUGUUUUGGAUCAUGGACACAUGACUUUGAAGUGCUCUGAUGCCUUAUGUGAGGCUUACAUUCAUUUUGUUUUAAUGAAUUGUGCCAAGAGCGAUUAAAAGUUGUUUUCAAAAUCUGCAA